rnacentral:rRNA from 1 species
CAUUAUAUCAGUUAUAGUUUAUUUGAUGAAGAAUACUAAUUGGAUAACCGUAGUAAUUCUAGAGCUAAUACAUGUAUAAAGUCUUGUAGACUGCAUUUAUUAGAAUGAAAACCAUAGGUUUCGGCCUAUUCGUGAGUAAUAAUAACUAAUCAUAUCGUAUGCUUAUGUAACGAUGUGUCUUUCAAGUUUCUGCCCUAUCAGCUUUCGAUGGUAGUGUAUUGGACUACCAUGGCAGUAACGGGUAACGAAGAAUUUGGGUUCGAUUUCGGAGAGGGAGCCUGAGAGAUGGCUACCACAUCCAAGGAAGGCAGCAGGCGCGUAAAUUACCCCAAUCCUGACACAGGGAGGUAGUGACAAUAAAUCACAAUGCGGAACAAUGUUUUGCAAUUGGAUUGAGAACAACGUACAAACCUUAUCGAUAAACAAUUGGAGGGCAAGUCUGGUGCCAGCAGCCGCGGUAAUUCCAGCUCCAAUAGCGUAUAUUAACGU